rnacentral:rRNA from 1 species
GACGUAGGGCGCAAGCGUUGUCCGGAUUUAUUGGGCGUAAAGAGCUCGUAGGCGGCUUGUCGCGUCGACUGUGAAACCCGCGGCUCAACCGUGUGGUCGUGCAGUCGAUACGGGCAGGCUAGAGUUCGGUAGGGGAGGACUGGAAUUCCUGGUGUAGCGGUGAAAUGGCGCAGAUAUCAGGAGGAACACCGGUGGCGAAGGCGGGUCUCUGGGCCGAUG